AAGAAAUGCAUUCUGCAGCGACGCACACAGAUAUCCUACCCUGUGCUAUCCGUGUUAUCUCUCCGUUUUUUGUUGACUCAGAGCUUGGCACAGGACCUGGCUCCCAGGAAGUGUUCAUGAAGGUCUGGUGGAUGAAUCGUGGAAGCCGUGACUAGAAGAUGGAGGGAUGAACCAAUGAAGCUACAGCAGGACGGUUUUCAAAAUGGCAUUCAGUCUCAAUUCUCUUUCCGCCUUUUCUCCAUAUCGAUGUCUACAAAAAAGUUCUCUGUUGGGAAGCUCUCAAGUCAUUGUAUGGUGAAGCGAUUGAAGAAACAACUGUGUAGCCACAGCAGGUGUCAGUUCCUGGGGGCCCCUGUCACCCUGCCCGGCAGCUCCCGUUCGGCAGCAGAGGCAUUAAGAGCAGACUCCACAGAAGCCAGUACGGCCAAGCAUUUUCAAAGGCAAGGGCAGCGGCGUUUGCCCGUUUUUUCCUCUCUUUGUUCUGGUCUUUGCUUCUUCCU